AAAGGGCUUCGCUUGGUGUAUAAAUGAAACCUUCCAUACGCAAGCGUCUGGGAAAGGACACCCAUCAAGAGGUUCAUGGUCCAGGUGACCCCAUGAGGGGGUUUCCACAGUCCUGGUGAGAAUGAGGACAACUCCAUGCACGCCAGUGUGGAGAUAUUUGAAGAACUCUGCCCUACGUAGGGAAGGUAAUACGUGUGAAAGAUCCAGAGACCGUCCCAUAACAGGACAACGGUUCAUUGCAAAGUGGUGAGUUAAUCAAUAGGUAGCUUUGUUCUAAUUUUCCCCCUCUAAAUUUAGAUUCACUGCAGCACACGGUUCCCUGUCUUAAAACGCAUGCCAGGGAGCCUUUAUGAAAUUCUAAGUUGACUUUAUUCAU
rnacentral:lncRNA from 1 species